rnacentral:misc_RNA from 1 species
GAUGAAGAACGCAGCGAAAUGCGAUACUUGGUGUGAAUUGCAGAAUCCCGUGAACCAUCGAGUCUUUGAACGCAAGUUGCGCCCGAAGCCAUUAGGCCGAGGGCACGCCUGCCUGGGCGUCACACGUCGUUGCCCCCCCUUCUACUCCUUCGGGAUUGCGGGGGGCGGAUGAUGGCCUCUCGUGCGCCUCGUCGCGCGGUUGGCCUAAAUGCCAAGUCCUCGGCGACGCACGCCACGACAAUCGGUGGUUGCGAAACCUCGGUUGCCUGUCGUGUGCGGUCGUCGCGCAUCGAGGGCUCGAAAAAAUUGCCGGGCUUCGGCUCGACUUUCAACGCGACCCCAGGUCAGGCGGGGUUACCCGCUGAAUUUAAGCAUAUCAAUAAGCGGAGGA